CCUACGGGUGGCAGCAGUAGGGAAUAUUGCUCAAUGGGGGAAACCCUGAAGCAGCAACGCCGCGUGGAGGAUGAAGGUUUUCGGAUUGUAAACUCCUUUUGUUAGAGAAGAUAAUGACGGUAUCUAACGAAUAAGCACCGGCUAACUCCGUGCCAGCAGCCGCGGUAAUACGGAGGGUGCAAGCGUUACUCGGAAUCACUGGGCGUAAAGAGCGCGUAGGCGGGAAAGCAAGUCAGAUGUGAAAUCCUAUGGCUUAACCAUAGAACUGCAUUUGAAACUGUUUUUCUAGAGUAUGGGAGAGGUAGGUGGAAUGCUUGGUGUAGGGGUGAAAUCCGUAGAGAGCAAGAGGAAUACUCAUUGCGAAGGCGACCUGCUGGAACAUAACUGACGCUGAUGCGCGAAAGCGUGGGGAGCAAACAGGAUUAGAUACCCGAGUAGUC
rnacentral:rRNA from 1 species